ensembl:lncRNA
GGGGAGGAGAGAGGGGAGGAGAGAGGUGAAGGAGAGAGGGGAGGAGAGAGGGGAGGUGAGAGGUGAAGGAGAGAGGGGAGGAGAGAGGUGAAGGAGAGAGGGGAGGAGAGGGGGGAAGGAGAGAGGGGAGGAGAGAGGGGAGGAGAGAGGGAGGAGAGAGGGGAGGAGAGAGGUGAAGGAGAGAGGGGAGGAGAGAGGGGAGGAGAGAGGGGAGGAGAGAGGUGAAGGAGAGAGGGGAGGAGAGAGGUGAAGGAGAGAGGGGAGGAGAGAGGUGAAGGAGAGAGGGGAGGAGAGAGGUGAAGGAGAGAGGGGAGGAGAGAGGUAAAGGAGAGAGGGGAGGAG